GAGUUUGAUCGUGGCUCAGAUUGAACGCUGGCGGCAGGCCUAACACAUGCAAGUCGAGCGGUAGAGAGAAGCUUGCUUCCCUUGAGAGCGGCGGACGGGUGAGUAAUGCCUAGGAAUCUGCCUGGUAGUGGGGGAUAACGCUCGGAAACGGACGCUAAUACCGCAUACGUCCUACGGGAGAAAGCAGGGGACCUUCGGGCCUUGCGCUAUCAGAUGAGCCUAGGUCGGAUUAGCUAGUUGGUGAGGUAAUGGCUCACCAAGGCGACGAUCCGUAACUGGUCUGAGAGGAUGAUCAGUCACACUGGAACUGAGACACGGUCCAGACUCCUACGGGAGGCAGCAGUGGGGAAUAUUGGACAAUGGGCGAAAGCCUGAUCCAGCCAUGCCGCGUGUGUGAAGAAGGUCUUCGGAUUGUAAAGCGACUUUAAGUUGGGAGGAAGGGCAGUAAAUUAAUACUUUGCUUGUUUUGACGUUACCGACAGAAUAAGCACCGGCUAACUCUGUGCCAGCCGCCGACGG
rnacentral:rRNA from 1 species